GAUGAACGCUGACAGAAUGCUUAACACAUGCAAGUCAACUUGAAUUUGGGUUUUUAACUUAGAUUUGGGUGGCGGACGGGCGAGUAACGCGUAAAGAACUUGCCUCACAGUUAGGGACAACAUUUAGAAAUGAAUGCUAAUACCUGAUAUUAUGAUUUUAAGGCAUCUUAGAAUUAUGAAAGCUAUAUGCACUGUGAGAGAGCUUGCGUCCCAUUAGCUAGUUGGAGAGGUAACAGCUCACCAAGGCGAUGAUGGGUAGCCGGCCUGAGAGGGUGAACGGCCACAAGGGGACUGAGACACGGCCCUUACUCCUACGGGAGGCAGCAGUGGGGAAUAUUGGACAAUGGACCGAGAGUCUGAUCCAGCAAUUCUGUGUGCACGAUGAAGUUUUUCGGAAUGUAAAGUGCUUUCAGUUGGGAAGAAAAAAAUGACGGUACCAACAGAAGAAGUGACGGCUAAAUACGUGCCAGCAGCCGCGGUAAUACGUAUGUCACGAGCGUUAUCCGGAUUUAUUGGGCGUAAAGCGCGUCUAGGUGGUUAUGUAAGUCUGAUGUGAAAAUGCAGGGCUCAACUCUGUAUUGCGUUGGAAACUGUAUAACUAGAGUACUGGAGAGGUAAGCGGAACUACAAGUGUAGAGGUGAAAUUCGUAGAUAUUUGUAGGAAUGCCGAUGGGGAAGCCAGCUUACUGGACAGAUACUGACGCUAAAGCGCGAAAGCGUGGGUAGCAAACAGG
rnacentral:rRNA from 1 species